UCAGAAGGGGAUAACACUUGGAAACAGGUGCUAAUACCGUAUAACACUAUUUUCCGCAUGGAAGAAAGUUGAAAGGCGCUUUUUGCGUCACUGAUGGAUGGACCCGCGGUGCAUUAGCUAGUUGGUGAGGUAACGGCUCACCAAGGCCACGAUGCAUAGCCGACCUGAGAGGGUGAUCGGCCACACUGGGACUGAGACACGGCCCAGACUCCUACGGGAGGCAGCAGUAGGGAAUCUUCGGCAAUGGACGAAAGUCUGACCGAGCAACGCCGCGUGAGUGAAGAAGGUUUUCGGAUCGUAAAACUCUGUUGUUAGAGAAGAACAAGGAUGAGAGUAGAACGUUCAUCCCUUGACGGUAUCUAACCAGAAAGCCACGGCUAACUACGUGCCAGCAGCCGCGGUAA
rnacentral:rRNA from 1 species